rnacentral:rRNA from 1 species
AGAGUUUGAUCCUGGCUCAGAUUGAACGCUGGCGGCAGGCCUAACACAUGCAAGUCGAGCGGUAGCACAGAGAGCUUGCUCUCGGGUGACGAGCGGCGGACGGGUGAGUAAUGUCUGGGAAACUGCCUGAUGGAGGGGGAUAACUACUGGAAACGGUAGCUAAUACCGCAUAAUGUCGCAAGACCAAAGUGGGGGACCUUCGGGCCUCAUGCCAUCAGAUGUGCCCAGAUGGGAUUAGCUAGUAGGUGGGGUAACGGCUCACCUAGGCGACGAUCCCUAGCUGGUCUGAGAGGAUGACCAGCCACACUGGAGCUGAGACACGGUCCAGACUCCUACGGGAGGCAGCAGUGGGGAAUAUUGCACAAUGGGCGCAAGCCUGAUGCAGCCAUGCCGCGUGUGUGAAGAAGGCCUUCGGGUUGUAAAGCACUUUCAGCGGGGAGGAAGGCGGUGAGGUUAAUAACCUCAUCGAUUGACGUUACCCGCAGAAGAAGCACCGGCUAACUCCGUGCCAGCAGCCGCGGUAAUACGGAGGGUGCAAGCGUUAAUCGGAAUUACUGGGCGUAAAGCGCACGCAGGCGGUCUGUCAAGUCGGAUGUGAAAUCCCCGGGCUCAACCUGGGAACUGCAUUCGAAACUGGCAGGCUAGAGUCUUGUAGAGGGGGGUAGAAUUCCAGGUGUAGCGGUGAAAUGCGUAGAGAUCUGGAGGAAUACCGGUGGCGAAGGCGGCCCCCUGGACAAAGACUGACGCUCAGGUGCGAAAGCGUGGGGAGCAAACAGGAUUAGAUACCCUGGUAGUCCACGCCGUAAACGAUGUCGAUUUGGAGGUUGUGCCCUUGAGGCGUGGCUUCCGGAGCUAACGCGUUAAAUCGACCGCCUGGGGAGUACGGCCGCAAGGUUAAAACUCAAAUGAAUUGACGGGGGCCCGCACAAGCGGUGGAGCAUGUGGUUUAAUUCGAUGCAACGCGAAGAACCUUACCUGGUCUUGACAUCCACAGAACUUUCCAGAGAUGGAUUGGUGCCUUCGGGAACUGUGAGACAGGUGCUGCAUGGCUGUCGUCAGCUCGUGUUGUGAAAUGUUGGGUUAAGUCCCGCAACGAGCGCAACCCUUAUCCUUUGUUGCCAGCGGUUCGGCCGGGAACUCAAAGGAGACUGCCAGUGAUAAACUGGAGGAAGGUGGGGAUGACGUCAAGUCAUCAUGGCCCUUACGACCAGGGCUACACACGUGCUACAAUGGCAUAUACAAAGAGAAGCGACCUCGCGAGAGCAAGCGGACCUCAUAAAGUAUGUCGUAGUCCGGAUUGGAGUCUGCAACUCGACUCCAUGAAGUCGGAAUCGCUAGUAAUCGUAGAUCAGAAUGCUACGGUGAAUACGUUCCCGGGCCUUGUACACACCGCCCGUCACACCAUGGGAGUGGGUUGCA